rnacentral:snoRNA from 1 species
CCCCUCCCAUUCCUUUUCCAUCCAAUAUGAGCACUGUUCUUGGUGGUAGUAAACGGAGUAAGAGGGAAUUAUUGCAGUGGGUUGCACAGGGCUCACAGUCUACCGUGGAGCACAUGGGCUUCUUUCAAACAAGG